CUACGGGAGGCAGCAGUGGGGAAUAUUGCACAAUGGGCGCAAGCCUGAUGCAGCGACGCCGCGUGGGGGAUGACGGCCUUCGGGUUGUAAACCUCUUUCAAUAGGGACGAAGCGCGAGUGACGGUACCUAUAGAAGAAGCACCGGCCAACUACGUGCCAGCAGCCGCGGUAAUACGUAGGGUGCGAGCGUUGUCCGGAAUUACUGGGCGUAAAGAGCUCGUAGGCGGUUUGUCGCGUCGUCUGUGAAAUUCUGCAACUCAAUUGUAGGCGUGCAGGCGAUACGGGCAGACUGGAGUACUGCAGGGGAGACUGGAAUUCCUGGUGUAGCGGUGGAAUGCGCAGAUAUCAGGAGGAACACCGGUGGCGAAGGCGGGUCUCUGGGCAGUAACUGACGCUGAGGAGCGAAAGCGUGGGGAGCGAACAGGAUUAGAAACCCGAGUAGUCC
rnacentral:rRNA from 1 species